UGUGCAGCCCUUUAUCGCUUAGUAGUCUCCAAAUGCUUCCUUCCUCUCCUUGGUGUCUGUCUUUCAGCCUUUUUUGGAUGAGUUUUGUGUCAACACCUCCAACUCUGGGACAUCGAUCAUGACCACACUGGCUGACUCAAGGACAUGCCUCUUCCUUUGAAGACAUAAAUCACUUCUGCUUUAUUAUGAGUAGGGCAGCGCAGCGAGAUAGAAAAAUUGAAGAUCAGGAUGAGCUCUGGUAGCAGUUGACAACCCUUCAUGAAGUGGAAUCUGAGCUGCGUUUUCAAAAAUGAGAAGAACUUAUCCUGAGAUGGAAUUUAAAAUCAAGACUUUCCUUGGGCAGUACUCUUAUUCCAGAUCUAGGUGGAAGGAAUACAUUUCUACCCUUUUGAGGGUGAGCAUGCUGAUGUGAUUUGCUUUGUCCUCUGAAAUUUUAAAAGGAUUUUAAGAGUCCAUGUGAUGCUCUCCAUGCUCUUCUGGUACAGCAUUUGUAGAAACACA
rnacentral:lncRNA from 1 species